UCCUGACUGACCGAUAGUGAACCAGUACCGUGAGGGAAAGGCGAAAAGAACCCCGGCGAGGGGAGUGAAAAAGAACCUGAAACCGUGUACGUACAAGCAGUGGGAGCACGCUUAGGCGUGUGACUGCGUACCUUUUGUAUAAUGGGUCAGCGACUUAUAUUCUGUAGCAAGGUUAACCGAAUAGGGGAGCCGAAGGGAAACCGAGUCUUAACUGGGCGUUAAGUUGCAGGGUAUAGACCCGAAACCCGGUGAUCUAGCCAUGGGCAGGUUGAAGGUUGGGUAACACUAACUGGAGGACCGAACCGACUAAUGUUGAAAAAUUAGCGGAUGACUUGUGGCUGGGGGUGAAAGGCCAAUCAAACCGGGAGAUAGCUGGUUCUCCCCGAAAGCUAUUUAGGUAGCGCCUCGUGAAUUCAUCUCCGGGGGUAGAGCACUGUUUCGGCAAGGGGGUCAUCCCGACUUACCAACCCGAUGCAAACUGCGAAUACCGGAGAAUGUUAUCACGGGAGACACACGGCGGGUGCUAACGUCCGUCGUGAAGAGGGAAACAACCCAGACCGCCAGCUAAGGUCCCAAAGUCAUGGUUAAGUGGGAAACGAUGUGGGAAGGCCCAGACAGCCA
rnacentral:rRNA from 1 species